rnacentral:lncRNA from 1 species
AAAUGUUCUACGGCAAUACUUUUGUCUGCACUAGUUGCAAAGGGAAGCUAAGUAGCUGAGGUCUACUUGAGAAAAAAUCAAGGGUGUUGUUCGGCUUAGUUUUGUUUUUAAGUAGGUCCACAGUUGGGGUUGGACACCCUAACCCACCCUUACAGAAAAGUUAAUUAAACAUGUUCUACGGCAAUUACAUUUGUAAGCACUAGGUGCAAAGGGAAGCUUGGCAGCUGAGUUCUACUUGAGAAAAAAUUCAGGGUUUUUUUUGGCUUAGUUUUGUUUGUAAGUAUGUCCACAGUUGAUGUCGGACACCUUAACCCACCCUAACAGAAAAGUUAAUUAAAAAUGUUCUACGACAAUACUUUUGUCUGCACUAGGUGCAAAGGGAAGCAACGAACUGGGGUAUACUUGAGAAAAACUCCAGGGUCUUCGUCGGCUUAGUUUUGUUUUUAAGGAGGUCCACAUUUGGGUUCGGACACCCUAACCCACACUUACAGAACAGUUAAUAACAAAUGUUCUCCGGCAAUACUUUUGUACGCACUAGGUCGAAAGGGAAGCAGGGUAGCUGAUGUCUACUUGAUAAAAAGUCCAGGGUGUUGUUCGGCUUAUUUUUUUUUUUACUAGGUCCAAAGUUGGGGUCGGACAUCCUAUCCCACCCUUACAGAAAAUUUAAUAAAACAUGUUCUACGGCAAUACUUUUGUCUGCACUAGCUAUAUAGGUGCAAAAGGAAGCUGGGCAGCUGAGGUCUACUUGAAAAAAAAUCAAGGGUGUUGUUCGGCUUAGUUUUGUUUUUAAGUAGGUCCACAGUUGGGGUCGGACACCCUGACCCACCCUUACAGAAAAGUUAAUUAAAAAUAUUCUACGGCAAUGCCUUUGUCUGCACUAGUUGCAAAGGGAAGCUAACUAGCUGAGGUCUACUUAAGAAAAAAUCCAGGGUGUUGUUCGGCUUAAUUUCUUUUUUUUUAACUAGGUCCAAAGUUUAGGUAGGACACCCUAUCCCACCCUUACAGAAAAGUCUAUAAAACAUGUUCUACGGCAAUACUUUUGUCUGCACUAGCUAUAUAGGUGCACAGGGAAGCUGGGUAGCUGAUGUCUACUUGAUAAAAAAUCCAGGGUGUUGUUCGGCUUAGUUUUGUGUGUAAGUAGGUCCACAGUUGGGGUCGGACACCCUAACCUACAUUUACAGAAAAGUUAAUUAAAAAUGUUCUACGACAAUAUUUUUGUCUGCACAAAGUUGCAAAGGGAAGCUACCUAACUGAGGUCUACUUGAGAAAAAAUCCAGGGUGUUGUUCGGCUUAAUUUUUUGAACUAGGUCCAAAGUUUGGGUCGGACACCCUAUUCCACCCUUACAGAAAGGUUAAUAAAACGUGUUCUACGGCAACACUUUUGUCUGCACUAGCUAUAUAGGUGCAAAUGGAAGCAUGGCAGCUGAGGUGUACUUGAGAAAAAUUCAAGGGUGUUGUUCGGCCUAGUUUUGUUUUUAAGUAGGUCCACAGUUGGGGUCGGCGACCCUAACCCACCCUUACAGAAAAGUUAAUUAAAAAUGUUCUACGGCAAUACUUUUGUCUGCACUAGUUGCACAAGGGAAGCUAAGUAGCUGAGUGUUACUUGAGAAAAAAUCAAGGGUGUUGUUCGGCUUAGUUUUGUUUUUAAGUAGGUCCACAGUUGGGGUCGGACACCCUAACCCACCCUUACAGAAAAAUUAAUUAAACAUGUUCUCCGGCAUUACAGUUGUAAGCACUAGGUGCAAAGGGAAGCUUGGCAGCUGAGUUCUACUUGAGAAAAAAUUCAGGGUUUUUUUUUAUCUUAGUUUUGUUUGUAAGUAUGUCCACAGUUGAUGUCGGAC